CAGCCGCCGCGGUAAUACGGAGGGUGCAAGCGUUAAUCAGAAUUACUGGGCGUAAAGCGUGCGUAGGCGGUUCGUUAAGUCUGUUGUGAAAGCCCCGGGCUCAACCUGGGAAUGGCAAUGGAUACUGGCGAGCUAGAGUGUGUCAGAGGAUGGUGGAAUUCCCGGUGUAGCGGUGAAAUGCGUAGAGAUCGGGAGGAACAUCAGUGGCGAAGGCGGCCAUCUGGGACAACACUGACGCUGAGGCACGAAAGCGUGGGGAGCAAACAGGAUUAGAUACCCCCGUAGUCCCUGUCUCUUAUAC
rnacentral:rRNA from 1 species